rnacentral:rRNA from 1 species
UACGUAGGGCGCAAGCGUUAUCCGGAAUUAUUGGGCGUAAAGAGCUCGUAGGCGGCUUGUCGCGUCUGCCGUGAAAGUCCGGGGCUCAACUCCGGAUCUGCGGUGGGUACGGGCAGACUAGAGUGAUGUAGGGGAGACUGGAAUUCCUGGUGUAGCGGUGAAAUGCGCAGAUAUCAGGAGGAACACCGAUGGCGAAGGCAGGUCUCUGGGCAUUAACUGACGCUGAGGAGCGAAAGCAUGGGGAGCGAACAGG